rnacentral:rRNA from 1 species
UACGAAGGGGGCUAGCGUUGCUCGGAAUUACUGGGCGUAAAGCGCACGUAGGCGGUUUCUUAAGUCGGUGGUGAAAUCCUGGAGCUCAACUCCAGAACUGCCUUCGAUACUGGGAAACUUGAGUCCGGGAGAGGUGAGUGGAACUGCGAGUGUAGAGGUGAAAUUCGUAGAUAUCGGGAGGAACACCAGUGGCGAAGGCGGCGACCUGGGCCAAUAUUGACGCUGAGGUGCGAAAGCGUGGGGAGCAAACAGG